rnacentral:lncRNA from 1 species
CUUGUCGAUCCUUAAAUAUAGUCGGUUGAUAUUGAAAAUGUCAGGGUUGGAAAUUUAACAGCAGUUGAUCGGUUGGCCAAGAAACGUGGAAAACAAGGUUUGUAUUUUAACAGUGUUAAGUGAUACAGCAGGAGACUAUCAAACUGCCUGCUGUCGUGUAGAAUAAGUGUGCUGCCAGCAGAUGGCAGCAGAAUGGAAAAAUAAGCACAUAGAGAUGAGAUAGCGGACAAAAGAACUCAGAUCUCUAGCAGCUUAGUUUCACUAGCUGUUUUUGACUGUGCAAGGUUCUGCUGAAGUUUGGUUUCACAAAGACAAAAAGGUACCACUUCUUUCUCCUUAAGGAAAAAGAACGGAAACAAGAGUUGCGUCAAACACUGGGCGAAAAGACUACCAAGAAAAAAAACAGUCAUUU